ACCCCUCCGAAAGUCGCUCGAACCACC
rnacentral:sRNA from 1 species